rnacentral:rRNA from 1 species
AAGGGGAGCAAUCCCUGAGUACAGUGGCGACCGGGUGAGUAACACGUGACUACCUACCCUUGAGUGGGGGAUAACCUCGGGAAACCGAGGCUAAUACCGCAUAAUAUCGAGAGAUCAAAGGAGCAAUCCGCUCUUGGAGGGGGUCGCGGCUGAUUAGCUAGUUGGUGAGGUAAUGGCUCACCAAGGCGAAGAUCGGUAUCCGGCCUGAGAGGGCGCACGGACACACUGGAACUGAAACACGGUCCAGACUCCUACGGGAGGCAGCAGUGGGGAAUUUUGCGCAAUGGGGGAAACCCUGACGCAGCAACGCCGCGUGGAGGAUGAAGCUCCUUGGA